GUCUGUGGCCACAGCACCCUCAACGUCCACGAUCUUGUGUGAUCUUGGAAGCUAAGCUUGGUUGGGCCUGGUCAGUACACGGAAGGGAAGAAGGGACACCUGGCCGCAGAAAACG
ensembl:rRNA 5S_rRNA 5S ribosomal RNA